rnacentral:lncRNA from 1 species
AUUCUUUGCCAUUGGGGUUCGAGUUUUCACAGUACUGCUCUUGUUACUUACAGCUGUUAGAAUAUAGUUAGUUUACUCUGUUCUGGUCCAUAUUGCUUAUUAUUUGUCUCAGCAUACUUUGGUGGAGAAACAGUUUAUAAUCCUAAAUUGCCCUGACUGAAAGAGCUACCGAUAAUACCUAUUACUCUCCUAAACCAGUUUAGCGCAUGUUUUCUUUUAAAUGCCCCACAUGUAGUAAUUCUGAAUUCUUUUUUUAAUUGAAGUAUGAUUGAUUUACAAUGUUGUAUUAGUUUCCGGUGUACAAUUUAGUGAUUCAAUGUUUUUAUGGAUUAUACUCCAUUUAAAAUGGGCAGUUGUCCUGAAUUCUUGUGCAUAGUAUAAUAAGUAGGUUUAUUUUGGAGUGUGCACAGGUUACAGAGGUAGCAGAUCAGAACUGAAAUGAGGCCCAAACAGUUCAGCCCUGGUGUGAAGUUGUAUGGAAACUAUAAUUUUGGCCAUAAUAGAAGUAGUGUUGGUAGCUCACACUAUUGUUGGGUCAGGGUGGGAAUGGUGUGAUAUGUGGAUCAGAAAUAAUACUUCCAUAAGCACUGCUCUUGUUAGGGUACUGAUUUCAGCUGCCUCUAAGUGCAUAAAGAGUUUGGGUGUAGAUAGAGAUGAUUUUAGGAUUUCAGGCUUAUGUUGCAGAAGCUAUGGUUAUCAUAAACUAGUCUGGAUUUCUAUGUCCUGCCCUUCAUCCCAAGUCUCUCUGAUUUUUUGUGCUACUAUUCAAACUACAAGCAAUUAUCUAAACAACUCAAAGUCCUUUCCUUUCAUUUAAGGCUAAAGUAUGUAUCAUUUUUAAAGAAAGCAGUAAAAAUGAGUUAAGGCAUUACUUGGUAUUAAUCUGUGGGUAGUGCUGAGUAUGAUGCCAGAUGUAUGUAUGAUCUCUGCAUAGAUUGGCAGCUUGUCUUUUGAGGGGCAAAGUUAAAAUACCAAAACCUUUUUUAUUUUGAAAUAUAUCAGAUAACCUAAAAAGUACAGGAGUUACCUGGUGGGUCAGCAGGUUGAGAAUCCAGCAUUGUCAUUGCUAUGACUCAGGUUGUUGCUGUGGCUUGGGUUCAUCCCUGACCUGGGAAUUUCCAUAUUCGGGAGCAGCCCCCCCCCCCAAAAGUGCAGAAAAUAGCAUAAUGAGCCCCUGGUACCCCUCCCCAGCUUUAAGAAUUAAACAUUACAAAUUCAUUUGAAGCCCUCUGUGUACCUUUCUUGAGCCAUUUCCUCAUUUCCCCAGGGAAUUUGCUCUCUUCCUUUUUGCAGGAACUUUUCCAGGGGUGGCUUUUCCCUUUCCCUAGACCUGUGUACAUUUGUUUCUUUCUUCAGAGGUCACCACAGUCACCUUUCCAUUUUAAGUCUAUUGCAUGUUGUAUGCAACAGAGCAGUCUGACCAGGGGAGUUGAGAAUAAGUAUACAUGAGGUAGAAAUCUACCUUAAAAUCUAGACAGUGUAAUUUUAGGCUUUAGCACUGCACUAUAUGCAGAACAAAAUGGGCAAAGUAGAUGUGAGAGUAACCUAAUGAAAUAAUCAUUUUAGGAAGAUUAGUUUGGUAACACCAGUGUGGAGCAGCGGUCUGAAAAGGAAGUGUGAGUUGCUAACUGAUUUUUUUUCCCUUCUGAUAACCCUUUGUUAGUGAGAUUUUGUUCUGCUUCCAAACACUGUCUUGCAAGAAGAGAAGGGAACUGGUGGCAAAAUGCUUAAUUAGGAGUGUUUUUCAUUUUCGGGAUUUGGGGGAUUGCUUCUGCCCUGUUGACAGUGAAGUGAAUACGUAGUGGCUAUUAGAUUUCUACUUUCAGUAUUGGUGAUUUUUCCAUGUCCCAGUGCCAGAGAUGCAAGUCAAGCUGCCUGACCAUUUUCUUUGGGCUGUUGCAGCCCUCUGCUGGUCUACAGAAGUUGCACAGUUUAGAGCCUUGUAGGGCUGGAAAGAGGUCAGUAAGCCCAGCAACUCAUUUUUAGAAACGCAGAGCCUUAAAAGUCAUUUAUGCCAACUCUCUCCAUUGCAGAAGAGUUUUUAUAUACUGACCUUAACAAUUCUGGAAAUAAAUAUAUAUAAAGAUAGCUAUCAAAGGCAAAUAAAUAAUUAUAAAUACAACUGCCUGUAUUUCUUUCUUUAAAAAUUCUAAAUGUAUUGUUAGAAUGUAAUCUUUUAAGGUCCAGUGUUUGACAGUAAAAAAAAUCUUUUUGCCACUAAUCUCUUUUGUAACAUAAUCUAAUGAAGUAAUGAGAAUUUUCUUUUCCUUUCUUUUCUUUUUUUUUUUUUUUUGGUCUUUUUAGGGCCAUACCCGUGGCAUAUGAUGAUAGUUCAGAGCUAUAGCCACUGGCCACAGCAAGAGAAAUUUUUUUUUUUUUAUUUGAGGUAUUGUUAAUAAAAAAAUGAAAAAGUAAUUUAAAAACUUGAAGUAUUGUUAAGUUGUUACUAUUAGGUAGAUUACUAUUAGGGGAUAAAUAUAACAGAUAAAUGCUAAUUGCUUCUUUUAAAUUAUUGUCAAAGCAUUUUUACUUCUUGUUGCUAGAGCCAGAAACUUGAUGGUCAUUCUAGCCGCCUUGCUCUUGUUGACUCCUUCUUUCCACCACACAGUCUGGUUGUUACACUUGUCCCUGUCUCUCAUCUAGUUCCUCUUUAGUCUGAAUUCCAAAGUUUCACCAACAGCACCUUUUAAACAUGCUGCUCAAAUUGUGCCACUACCCUUUUUUAAAGCCUUAAAUUGCUUUUAUCAGAGUUAUCCUGUGGUGCAGUGGUUUAAGGAUCCAGCGUUGUCACUGCAGUGGCUUGGGUUGCUGCUGUGGCUUACUUAGGUUUGAUCCCUGGUUGGGAACUUCCACGUGGCACAGGCACAGCCAAAAAAAAA